rnacentral:rRNA from 1 species
CGUGCCUAAUACAUGCAAGUCGAGCGAACGGAUGAGAAGCUUGCUUCUCUGAUGUUAGCGGCGGACGGGUGAGUAACACGUGGAUAACCUACCUAUAAGACUGGGAUAACUUCGGGAAACCGGAGCUAAUACCGGAUAAUAUUUUGAACCGCAUGGUUCAAAAGUGAAAGACGGUCUUGCUGUCACUUAUAGAUGGAUCCGCGCUGCAUUAGCUAGUUGGUAAGGUAACGGCUUACCAAGGCAACGAUGCAUAGCCGACCUGAGAGGGUGAUCGGCCACACUGGAACUGAGACACGGUCCAGACUCCUACGGGAGGCAGCAGUAGGGAAUCUUCCGCAAUGGGCGAAAGCCUGACGGAGCAACGCCGCGUGAGUGAUGAAGGUCUUCGGAUCGUAAAACUCUGUUAUUAGGGAAGAACAUAUGUGUAAGUAACUGUGCACAUCUUGACGGUACCCAAUCAGAAAGCCACGGCUAACUACGUGCCAGCAGCCGCGGUAAUACGUAGGUGGCAAGCGUUAUCCGGAAUUAUUGGGCGUAAAGCGCGCGUAGGCGGUUUUUUAAGUCUGAUGUGAAAGCCCACGGCUCAACCGUGGAGGGUCAUUGGAAACUGGAAAACUUGAGUGCAGAAGAGGAAAGUGGAAUUCCAUGUGUAGCGGUGAAAUGCGCAGAGAUAUGGAGGAACACCAGUGGCGAAGGCGACUUUCUGGUCUG